AAUGAUACAACCUCUAUCCGCCAGGGGACUACAAGCAUCAGCUUAAAACCCAAAGGACUUGGCGGUGCUUUAGAUCCACCUAGAGGAGCCUGUUCUAGAACCGAUAACCCCCGUUUAACCUCACCUCUGCUUGUUUAUUCCGCCUAUAUACCACCGUCGUCAGCUUACCCUGUGAAGGACUAGUAGUAAACUAAACUGGUAAAACCCCAAACGUCAGGUCGAGGUGUAGCGUAUGAAGAGGGAAGAAAUGGGCUACAUUCGCUACAAUAGCGAACACGAAUGAUACCCUGAAACAUGUAUCUGAAGGAGGAUUUAGCAGUAAGUGGAAAAUAGAGAGUUCUACUGAAAUCGGCCCUGAAGCACGCACACAUCGCCCGUCACUCUCCCCAAGCCUGAUAAAUAUAAGUAACUAAACCUAACUAAUUGAAAAGGGGAGGCAAGUCGUAACAUAGUAAGUGUACCGGAAGUGUACUUGGAAAAG
rnacentral:rRNA from 1 species